CGUGCUUAACACAUGCAAGUCGAACGGGAUCUGCGUGGCCUUUGUGGUUGUGUGGUGAGAGUGGCGAACGGGUGAGUAACACGUGAGUAACCUGCCUUUUUCUUUGGGAUAACGCUCAGAAAUGGGUGCUAAUACUGGAUGUUCUGCGCUUUCCGCAUGGGGGGUGUGGGAAAGGGGCCUUUGUGGUUUCUGGAGGGAGAUGGGCUCGCGGCUUAUCAGCUUGUUGGUGGGGUGAUGGCUUACCAAGGCUUUGACGGGUAGCCGGCCUGAGAGGGUGGGCGGUCACAUUGGGACUGAGAUACGGCCCAGACUCCUACGGGAGGCAGCAGUGGGGAAUUUUGCACAAUGGGGGGAACCUUGAUGCAGCGACGCCGCGUGAGGGAUGGAGGCCUUCGGGUUGUGAACCUCUUUCGCUCGUGUGCAAGCCGCUAUUUGGGUAGUGGUGAGUGUAGCGGGUAAAGAAGCGCCGGCUAACUACGUGCCAGCAGCCGCGGUAAUACGUAGGGCGCGAGCGUUGUCCGGAUUUAUUGGGCGUAAAGGGCUUGUAGGCGGUUUGUCGCGCCUGUCGUGUAAUCCUCUGGCUUAACUGGGGGUGUGCGGUGGGUACGGGCAGGCUUGAGUGCGGUAGGGGAGAUUGGAAUUCCUGGUGUAGCGGUGGAAUGCGCAGAUAUCAGGAGGAACACCGGUGGCGAAGGCGGGUCUCUGGGCC
rnacentral:rRNA from 1 species